rnacentral:rRNA from 1 species
AACGCGAAGAACCUUACCUACUAUUGACAUCCUGCGGACCUAGCUGAGAGGUUAGGGAGCCGAGAGGCACGCAGAGACAGGUGCUGCAUGGCUGUCGUCAGCUCGUGUUGUGAGAUGUUGGGUUAAGUCCCGUAACGAGCGCAACCCUUGUCCUUAGUUGCCAGCGAGUAAAGUUGGGGACUCUAAGGAGACUGCUGGUGAAGAACCGGAGGAAGGCGGGGACGACGUCAAGUCAUCAUGGCCUUUAUGAGUAGGGCUACACACGUGCUACAAUGGGCCGUACAGAGGGUAGCGAAGCUGCGAAGCGGAGCCAAUCUCAGAAAGCGGCUCGUAGUCCGGAUUGGAGUCUGCAACUCGACUCCAUGAAGUUGGAAUCGCUAGUAAUCGCGAAUCAGCAAUGUCGCGGUGAAUACGUUCCCGGGCCUUGUACACACCGAUACUC